UUAUUAAAAUUUGGGAAUUGAUACCCUAUUAUUCUAAAAUAAGGUUAAGGUAUUGGAGAUUAAAUGUAAAUCAUUAAAUUUAAAUAAUUUGGCGGUAUUUUAAAAAGUUAGAGGAAUCUGUCGAGUAAAUGAUAGUCCACGAUAGGAGUGUCCUGAUAUAUUUUUAUAUAUUGUUGUUUGAAUAUUAGUUUAUAAGAAUUUAAUAGAAAGUUAGGAUUAUAGAAUAAUUCAAAUCAAAAUGUAGAGUUGUUAGGUUUAGAUGGAUUACAAUUUAAUUUAAUAUUAGGGCUAGAAUUUUAAUUAUUAUAGUAAAAGAGGAUUUAGUAGUAAAUUUAUAGAAUAAUAUAAUUUGAAUUUUAUAUAAGAUAUGUACAAAUUGCCGUUCAUUUUUCAAUAA
rnacentral:rRNA from 1 species